rnacentral:rRNA from 1 species
ACGGCAUUUGGUGCUUGCACCGAAUGGACGUCGACCGGCGCACGGGUGAGUAACGCGUAUCCAACCUUCCCGUUACUGCGGGAUAACCUGCCGAAAGGCAGACUAAUACCGCAUGUUCUUCGAUGACGGCAUCAGAUUCGAAGCAAAGAUCCGUCGGUAACGGAGGGGGAUGCGUCUGAUUAGCUAGUUGGCGGGGCGACGGCCCACCAAGGCGACGAUCAGUAGGGGUUCUGAGAGGAAGGUCCCCCACAUUGGAACUGAGACACGGUCCAAACUCCUACGGGAGGCAGCAGUGAGGAAUAUUGGUCAAUGGGCGGAAGCCUGAACCAGCCAAGUAGCGUGCAGGAUGACGGCCCUACGGGUUGUAAACUGCUUUUAUGCGGGGAUAAAGUGAGGGACGCGUCCCUUUUUGCAGGUACCGCAUGAAUAAGGACCGGCUAAUUCCGUGCCAGCAGCCGCGGUAAUACGGAAGGUCCGGGCGUUAUCCGGAUUUAUUGGGUUUAAAGGGAGCGUAGGCCGGGGAUUAAGUGUGUUGUGAAAUGUAGGCGCCCAACGUCUGACUUGCAGCGCAUACUGGUUCCCUUGAGUACGCGCAACGCCGGCGGAAUUCGUCGUGUAGCGGUGACAUGCUUAGAUAUGACGAAGAAACCCGAUUGCGAA